rnacentral:lncRNA from 1 species
AGUAUAUAAGUGUCUAGCACAGUCCUUGGCACAUAGAAAGUGCUCUGUAAACAGUACUUCGCAUCAAAUUCUUGGGAUGAAUGAAAGUGAGUGCCUGGCGCUGCACAUAAGAAAAGACGUGGCAGCAAACCAUCCUCCCGACAUGACGUGCUGCGUUGGUGCGUUUACGUCCCUGUUCCUUCUGAAAGACUCAAAAUUGUGUUGGAGCUACUGGUGCACCUUUGUAAGACCUGCACUAACGACCGCGCCACUGGGAAGGGCACUUCUUUAUGAAGUCGCCGUAUUCCCAGGGAGACUGGUCAACCCAUACAAUGUGAAAAAAAAAGAAGCUAUGUGAAAAAAUAUUCCCCUUUGUCAUAGAGAAGGAGAACUUGGUGAGGCUGGGCAGCUGCAGGAGCCUCAGUUUUUCAGAUAACAGAACAGAGUAGACCUUGAGGGUCCAUUUCCCUUUUUGUUUUAGGAAGUGCUGUAGAAGGGGGCAAAGAGAUCUUUGAUAUGAGAAGGUAUUUCUUCAAAGCAGCAUCGUGCCUGAAAUAGCAUUGUUCUUUACGCUGAGAGAGGAGGAAAUGGGAAUUUGGUGUUCAACGGGUUUAAAGUUUCAGUUACAAGAAAUGGACAAGUCCGAGAGCUCUGCUGUGCCACAUCAUGCCUAAAGUCACCGAGACUGUGUUGUACACUUUUUUGUUAAAAGGUAAAUCUCAUGUUAAAUGUUGUUACUACAAUUAAAAAGAAGCCCUAGGCUGUGUUUGCAGAAAGGCACUAACCAUACAUGUGCUCAAGAGCCCUUUUGUGUUUUCUUCACUUCAUGUUGUAGUUCAAUUUAGUUUUGCUUUGCAAGGAUCCUCGGAAAGUGUAUCAUCAGCAAUGACUUUUAUUUUAGAACUAAAUGUGAACCACGGGGGGAAUCAUGAUCGACAUUGCUCGUUGUCCUUUCUUCCUCCCUGUGGGCUGUGAAUCCAACUCGUCCUGGGAGCAGGGCGCUCUCGCCUUCUGUUCCUCUCCGAGCUCAGUGCACAGAAGCAUUCUGCUUACCCAGCUGGGACUGCUGACUGCACCAUCGAGCACGCAGGUUGCACUGUUCUCAGCAGCUACACUGGAUUAUAUGCCGCCUUUCUUACUGACUGAUUAUGAACUUAAAACAAAUUCACUCUGCUGCUGUGAAUUAUACAUUUAUUUUUAAGCAUUUAUUUCAACUCGAGAUGAGCGGUCUCUCCUGUAAAUUUCUCCCUGCUGGAUCUUUGCUCUGGUUUCUGGUGACAUAGUGUGAGUGCCGGCAGCCGCGAGCCUCAGAAGGAAAAUUACAAAGGGAAUACUCAGUAAAUGAUGUAUUGCCUUUCGCAUCAGUAGCCUGCUUGGAAAUGUUCAAAUUAUCAGCCCAGGAGACUCCAGUGCUGUGGACAUGGGUCUGAACGAAUUGAUCACCUAGGGGCUACUGAGAACGCGGUGCUCUGUAAGUAUCCAUGGAUGCACAGCGCAGACGCGGAAAGGGAUCCCCAGAAUGUUCCUUCUGUUGCUGGUUUAGAUUGUGAGGAAAAAAUGCAUUUUCCAUGAGUCUUUAACUUAGUAUUAAAUGUUGUUACUGGUUGAUAA